AGAGUUUGAUCCUGGCUCAGGAUGAACGCUAGCGACGGGCCUAACACAUGCAAGUCGAGGGGUAACAUGAGUGCUUGCACUUGAUGACGACCGGCGCACGGGUGCGUAACGCGUAUGCAACUUACCUUGUACUGGGGAAUAGCCCGUGGAAACGCGGAUUAAUGUCCCAUAACACUACAAUUUCGCAUGGAAAAGUGGUUAAAGUUCCGACGGUACAAGAUGGGCAUGCGUGACAUUAGCUAGUUGGUGAGGUAAUGGCUCACCAAGGCGACGAUGUCUAGGGGUUCUGAGAGGAAGGUCCCCCACACUGGUACUGAGACACGGACCAGACUCCUACGGGAGGCAGCAGUGAGGAAUAUUGGUCAAUGGGCGCAAGCCUGAACCAGCCAUGUCGCGUGCAGGAAGACUGCCCUACGGGUUGUAAACUGCUUUUGUAUGGGAAGAAACGUUGGUACGUGUACCAAUUUGCCGGUACCAUACGAAUAAGGAUCGGCUAACUCCGUGCCAGCAGCCGCGGUAAUACGGAGGAUCCAAGCGUUAUCCGGAUUUAUUGGGUUUAAAGGGUGCGUAGGCGGUAGAAUAAGUCAGUGGUGAAAUCCUGCAGCUUAACUGUAGAACUGCCAUUGAUACUGUUUUACUUGAGUGUAAUUGAGGUAGGCGGAAUGUGUUGUGUAGCGGUGAAAUGCAUAGAUAUAACACAGAACACCGAUUGCGAAGGCAGCUUACUAAGUUAUAACUGACGCUGAUGCACGAAAGCGUGGGUAGCGAACAGGAUUAGAUACCCUGGUAGUCCACGCCGUAAACGAUGAUUACUCGCUGUAGGCAAUACACCGUCUGUGGCUGAGCGAAAGCAUUAAGUAAUCCACCUGGGGAGUACGUUGGCAACAAUGAAACUCAAAGGAAUUGACGGGGGCCCGCACAAGCGGAGGAACAUGUGGUUUAAUUCGAUGAUACGCGAGGAACCUUACCUGGACUUAAAUGUAGAUUGACGUAUCCAGAGAUGGAUAUUUCUUCGGACAAUUUACAAGGUGCUGCAUGGUUGUCGUCAGCUCGUGCCGUGAGGUGUCGGGUUAAGUCCCAUAACGAGCGCAACCCCUGUUGUUAGUUACCAGCACAUCAUGGUGGGGACUCUAACAAGACUGCCGGUGUAAACCGCGAGGAAGGUGGGGAUGACGUCAAAUCAGCACGGCCCUUACGUCCAGGGCUACACACGUGUUACAAUGGCCGGUACAGAGGGCAGCUACUUGGUGACAAGAUGCGAAUCUCAAAAACCGGUCUCAGUUCGGAUCGAAGUCUGCAACCCGACUUCGUGAAGCUGGAUUCGCUAGUAAUCGCAUAUCAGCCAUGAUGCGGUGAAUACGUUCCCGGGCCUUGUACACA
rnacentral:rRNA from 1 species